rnacentral:rRNA from 1 species
UACGAGUGCCCCGAGCGUUAUCCGGAAUUAUUGGGCGUAAAGGGUGUGUAGGUGGUCGUGUUAGUCUUCCGUUAAAUUCUUCGGCUCAACCGGGGGCAUGCGGGGGAAACGGCACGACUCGAGGAUGCGAGAGGUCUGUGGAACUCUAAGUGUAGGGGUGAAAUCCGUUGAUAUUUAGGGGAACACCAAAAGCGAAGGCAGCAGACUGGCGCAUUCCUGACACUGAAACACGAAAGCGUGGGUAGCGAAUGGG